UUUGCAUUAUGGAGUUGCCGCGCCGGGAGAUAGAGUCGAACCAGCAACCUCUGCGGUCGGGCGGUGGUGGCGAUACAUGGCCUGUAAUCUAUCACGAGAGGCGAGGAUUGGUGCAUCAGACAGGUGCCAUUUUGUAGGUGGACCUUUCGCGCCUAUAUGAGUCGUGUCGCCGGGCGCCAACACUCGCGCAAGCCUGGCAUGGACAGCACAGUCGGCGACAUUUCAUCAUUCUGAAGAUUAUCGCUGUUGAGUGUUGGUCCCGUGCGAGCCGAGCCGCGAUGGGGUUUAUCGUGGCGCUGCUCGUCCUGGGCGCGUGGUGCGGGAGUUGCUCGGCCCAGGGACAACCCAGAGCUUGCCUUGCGGUCGGCAAGAGUGACAAUUGCACCUGCUCCAGCGCAACGACAUCAUCGCCUGAAACUGUUGACUGCAGUAGCAAAAAGCUGACCGCUGUUCCGACUGGGAUUCCUGCAAACACCGAGACGCUGAAGGCAACUCAAAGUUUUGCGAGCUGAGAGGGGACUCGGUGACCUUGAAGGCGGGGGGGGGAGAUUUGUUUUUUCUGUUAAUUAUGCUGCGAAGGGCAUCUCCUGUAAUUCACAUUGUAACGCAAGCAGUACAAAACACCAAUGCAUUUCCAACCUCUGGGAUUGUGAAUGUGCUAGCAUUAUCUAUUUUGUAAAUUGGCUGAAAGAAAACCCAAAACACGACUCUGGUGCAUCUUGUAAAAAACCAACUGGAACGGCCGUCAAAGAUGUUAAUCCAGAAGACAUCAAGAAUGUGCCUUGCAAUCACGUAUAUCCAACUCCCAAAAUUACAGCAUCGUCUCCCACCCCUGCUACAUCCAUCUUCAUAAAGGAGUUAAAUUCGACCACCAAUCUCAAUGCAAUCCAUGAGCACAGAACGCACACGGAUGUGUGUAACAUGCCUUUUGUCUCACACAUGUGCUUGCUAUUUUGUAAUUUAUUUUCAACGUGCUCGCUUUGUUUCAUUAUAAAACCGCUGCACCGUUAUUGAGUGGUAAAGUAGACAUCCCCGUUGCAUGGCGACAAAAAUAGGGACCACGUUAUUCUGCAUCCUGCUAUUGAGCUUAUGGAGCACAAACAAUAAUGAAAUUAAUGCAGUGUAUACUAAACAGGCUUAUGAUUGUGCUUUGUUGUAGUGAUGCCCAGGCUUUCGCAGUCAUUUAAUCUAUUUCCCACUGCUAUAUCGUCGAUAGUUAAAUUUGUUAUACUCUAGGCCUGCUUUUGAAUGGGACAUUCCGAUAAAUGUCAAACACCAUUUCAUAAAGUGGCAUGUUGUAAAGAUAAAUGUGUAUAUUGACGAAAAUGAGCGUAUGGGUGUUGCUAUGGCUUGUGCUUUUUUAAUCUACAUUCUGCAAAUGUACAACAGCCUACAGUAUGCAUUGCAACUUUGUUUUCAAACGUAACACCAUGACUCGUAGCCAAUGAGAUUACCACUUUCUUUUUUAGUACAGGUUAGGAUAGCCGUCAAAAUGUACUUUCUGUCCCUCCACUGUGGUCUAGAAGACCAAUAUAAAAGACGGUACUUGAAUCAGUCAGGGGUGAAGGCACACAAUGUUGGUGUGAUCAGGCUAUGAAAAAAACGGGCAAAAUUAGAUUGUAAAUGUGGACAAAAAAUCCCUUAAGCGGGUUUACCUCAGCACAAUGAGUCCAAACCGGGUUUGUAUUUUUAAAUGUGCACUCUGCGAGGAGAGCCUGAUAUUUCGUUACCACUUCGUUCAAAGCAAUAACAGGAUAAACUUUCUUGAGCGAGAAGACGUUAGUGAUGCUACGUCCUGCCAGUACAAAUGCACGACCUUGUUCAACGAAGAAAUGAGAAUACAAGCAAUGGCAUACAACAUAAGCUUUGCGCCAAUCAGGCUCGGCUAAAUGGUCGUUGAGGUACGGCAUCACAGAUCCAUGUCUAUGAUAUGGAGGGACGAGCUGAAUAACACGUGCGCUACACAGCGGCACUAAUACAGCACGUGGUCCUGUAGAUGAGUGUUGAGGCCCGUAGGUUUGCGCAAUAGUUGUUAGCCUUCAGACAAAGUUGCCAAUGCUUCAGAAAUGCCUGUAGGUGUUUAUCUUGGUCAGUUCUGGCAUGCUGAUUGCGAGCUUGGGCUGAGAUGUGACCAGGAGACGGUUGUACAGUCCCGACAAUUACAUCUUUGAGGAGCUUUUGAGCGUUGCCUAAGCUCCCGGGUGCAUUGGUUCUCUCUUUCCCACGUGCUGCACUCUCGUUGUGGAAGGGACUAAGCGGAGUCAAAGUGGCGUCGACGUGCAGCGAGGCUCUGCUGUGCAAUGCGCAUUACUGUUAUACUCUACACGCAUCAUACAUUUACAUAUUUGGAACGCAGCAAUUUGAAGGACUUUCUGAAAAACGGGUUUCCUAAACAGUUGACAUUUGAACAACUGCUGUCCAUAGGCCUCCUUAAUCUAUCUUUAGUAAUUUGAAAAUGUAUAAAAUGACCACACUUUGCAUGAAUAUAUUUGCCAUUAAACUUUCCA